CUUAAAAGGGGGCAGUAGGGGCCAGUCAAGGAGUCUCGGGCGUUGCGCGAGUGCGUUAUGCAAAUAUCCGUCGGCCGGCGCCGUAAGUAAAUGACCGCGGCAGCCUCAGUCGCCGCUACCUCCGCGUGUCCGCCACCCUGUGCAGCCCCUCGCCCAGCGCGAUGUCGAAGUCCUGCAGCCACUCGUCGGAGCGCCUGAAGCCGCCGCUCUAACACCUCCGCCUCCGCUCUGCCCGGCGGCACCUGUCCCACAAGCACCGGCAGGGGCCUCUCCAGUUCGUGCCCUCCUCGCGGGACGUCACCCGCGACGUAUUGGACCGGUUCCUGCCGCGCGUCCAGCACCACCGAGUGCAGGUGGCGGGGCGCGUCUACUAGGGGUACUACCCUCGUUUUUACGUGAUAUGGUCCGACCUAGGUCUUGUCCAGUUCCUGAUGUCUUUCGUCCUCGAUCUUUUCCGUAACCUUUCCGAUCUUCUUAUACAACACGAUACGUGUUACGAUUUCCAGUCGACACUCUUCUAGUAUUAACUCUUUCUACUACAACGAUUUCCUGAACUCCUCGAAUAACGGGAAGUACCGUAGUGGUUCGAACAGUACCCUCGUCGACGUCUGUUUGUAAUGAGUUUCUUUUACUUUUCUGGUUUCAGGUUCUGUCGUGAGCCUGAUUACCUUCGUCUUCGGAGUGGUACAUUCUAUACCAAAUGAACAUUUCCUGUUGACUAUACAUGGUCCCUUCGUUUGUGUUGGUAAGGGUACUAUGGUGGUAGUGGACGUAGCUGUCAACGUAGUUGUAAUAGUCGUUCGUCGUAAAGGUCGGCGUACUCUAGCUAAUGCUAGGUGGUGAGUCUCUCACUUCGUGGUUCGAGUUUACCUUCAGGUGUCGUCUUAGACUUGUCUAGCUCUUGUCUUCACUACGCCGUAGUGAGAGCUCCUCGACCACCAUGCGGUGGAGUCGAUAAACUUGGAAACCUUGAGUUACGCUUACGGUCCGGUUGUUCUUGUGGUAACUCAAGAUACCUAAGGACCCUACUUAAACCCUCCUCUAGUGUUUCGAGGACCAUGUUAGAUAGUUCCUUGCUACUACGUUAGUCACAGAGGCUUAGUCGUUGUGUAGUAGGUUACGUGCUCAGACUGCUACUGGUGAAAAGUAGAGGAAAAGUACUCGAGCUCUUAGGUCCACGACUACGCCUUUACAUACCAUCUGAACUCCUCCGAGAGGCGCUUUGAGUUCUUAGCUUCUUUCUCCACAAGCUUCUUAGUUGGUUCGCGGCUUUUCGGCUUGAACUAGACGAAAGUCGAGAAGUUUUCCGGUUCCUCAACCUCUUCAACAUAGUAGUGCUCUAUUCUGUCUCUUUUUGUUAGCUCCUCUGUGAGCACUCUGUCCGCGUCCUCGAGCUUCGUUGCUUUUAAGUCACACUGUGCUAUAUGCUGGUUGAUGUACUACGUCUUCUUGUCUUCCGGCACAACCUCGUCGCGUACUGGCUCUACCUCAGACGAGAAUCUCUACCGCUCCUCUUCGACCGGUGUUCGUUCACGGAAGAGCUUCGCGAGGUUCGUCUGUUUCUCUUCGACGUUGUUCUCUCUCUACGGCGCCGUUGGCGCCGACGUCUCAACGCGGUCUUCUCGCUCGUCUCUUAAAGAUACCGCUGACUUCGUAACUUGUGGCUCAAGAGGCGGCAACUCGAGCUCGUCCGUUGAGCCUCGAAACUGCUUCACGAGUUCUAGCCGCUCCCGCCCAAGCCCACACAGAUGUUUCCGAGUGACGCGUCGUGUUGGCACCGAUAUUUCGACAACGUAGGCUUUUCGAACGUCCCGGUCAGUCUUAAGUUGGUUCUCCAACGACAGGAGCCGUCUCAUUCCGUGGGCUUGGAGCAACGCGACUAGCCCAGCACGGCCCUCCGCAAGCCGGACCACAUGCUCAUGGAGGGCUUGCCGUCGGAGCUCCUGGCCGAGCGCACGCGCUUGCUGUGCGGCGGCAACUGUACCGUCCACGCGUGGUCCUAGUAGAUGCUCUACACGAGCCGGGACUGCAAGGACGUGAGCUUGUUCGGCGUGGGCCACCAGGUGCCCCUGGACUUCGGCCGGUUGUAGGAGGACCUGCGGUUGGACCACUCGUUCGACCCCCUGAAGCCGUAGACGGCGGAGGACUGCGUCAGGCCGUGGAGGUGGCGGCGGUGGUGCGACAUGGCCUGCUGGUGGGGCUCCCCCUGGAAGCGUAUGUACCUGGGCCUCAAGGACAGCAGGCCGCUCGACUGCGGUGCGAGGCUGCAGAUGAGGAACCCGUAGUAGUAGGACGUCGAGGACUGCCCGUCCGCCGGGGUCUUCUAGCGGCUCCACCACCUCCUGCGCCACCUCUUCCCACUCGACGUGUGGCAGGAGCUGGGGAGGCGCCCCCGGACCGGCAAGCACGUCCGGUUGGUCGAGCGCGUGGAGCCGGACGCCACGCGGCUCUACUCGUCCUCCGCGGCGGGCCUGGAGCGGGCCCUCCACACCUGGCACCAGCUCGGGGACUACUUCCGGCGGAGCGACUGGCGGGCCGCCGGCUGCAAGCGACGGAGCAGCCGAAACGGCCUGCUCCGAAGGUGCGGCAGGAUGAAGCAGACGGGCUAGAAGGUCCUCUACUACUUACUAGGCGUGUAGCGCCGUCUGCCCAAGUGCAUGCUUCGUCUCCGCUAGUCUCCCACCGACCUGUCGCCCGUGCUGUGCAGCGGCUACUGGUUGGACUUCGAGCGCGUGGCGCUUGAGUGGGGCUUGGCCCCCGAGGCGAGCCACUAAGAGCUCACCGUUGUUGUCGUAGCCGUCAUGGUACUCCUGACCUCUACUGGUUAGGAACUUGUGCGUGCUUUAGGACAUUUACCACAUGUAUUUUCAAACUUAGCUUGUUUUAAUAAGGUUCCCUGCCUAAAUGGCUAUCACUAGACC
rnacentral:rRNA from 1 species